GCGGCUGGCCGGCUGGCGGGGUGGCGAAAUGUCUUUUCCAGAUUAGGGGCCCAGCCCGCGCUGUUGACACAGUCGUAAGUUUUAAUGAGAAAUUGGCUCUGCUGACUGCCGCCGAAAAUGACACACAGGGGCUCCUCCUGCCCCCCCAACCUCCCCAGCUCCACCAAAAGGGCCAUGGUGGAGGUGUGAGCCUGGAGUCCUGUUCUGAGCAGGGAGCCUCAGCCCUCAGCCUCCCAGCCACUGACCACCUGCGGUGUGCACUCGGCUGAACCUUUACCAGAGCUUCCUGAAGGGGGUCGGAUUACCUUGCUUGCCUUUUCCAUGGAAGGACAUCAGCGAGCACAUUCUCUGGCACCAGGAAUUUGAGACCUCUCAAUUUUCCUCCGGUCACUCUGAGAUUCCCAGGGCCCCACUGGUCUGCUGGAGAGAAUAGGCCUGGCUCUCUCAGGGCCCAAAGGAUGCCUUGCUACUUUCCAUUAGCCAGAGAUGGCGCUGGGCACCGGCCGCUGUCCCGGACCUUCCUCUGUAUUCCUCUUCUUCCUCGCCACCCUCCCCCUCCUUCCCCCGUCGUCCUACCCUUCUUCCGUGCCUCUUCCCCCUUCCUCCCCUCGCUCCUCCCUCCCUCCUUCCCCACGAUCCGGCGGCCGGGGCGCGGGCCGGGCGCGCGCUGGGUGGUCCGGCGGCCGGGGGCGGGCGGUAGCCUGCAGGCGUAAUUGGCAUGCACGCCGUUGUAGCUG